rnacentral:rRNA from 1 species
AUUGAACGCUGGCGGAAUGCUUUACACAUGCAAGUCGAACGGCAGCACGGGGGCAACCCUAGUGGCGAGUGGCGAACGGGUGAGUAAUACAUCGGAACGUGCCCAGUCGUGGGGGAUAACUACGCGAAAGCGUAGCUAAUACCGCAUACGAUCUGCGGAUGAAAGCGGGGGACCGGAAGGCCUCGCGCGAUUGGAGCGGCCGAUGGCAGAUUAGGUAGUUGGUGGGGGAAAGGCCUACCAAGCCGACGAUCUGUAGCUGGUCUGAGAGGACGGCCAGCCACACUGGGACUGGGACACGGCCCAGACUCCUCCGGGAGGAAGCAGUGGGGAAUUUUGGACAAUGGGCGCAAGCCUGAUCCAGCCAUUCCGCGUGCAGGAUGAAGGCCCUCGGGUUGUAAACUGCUUUUGGACGGAACGAAAAGCGCUGAGUUAAUACCUCGGCGUCAUGACGGUACCGUCAGAAUAAGCACCGGCUAACUACGUGCCAGCAGCCGCGGUAACAC